AGAAUCUUGUCUUAAAGCUGUCCCUACCCCAUCUCACUCUUGAGGAAGUACCUACAUACCCAUAGACCCCAUAAAUCUCUACAACUAUAUUCUUAUGCUUUCAACCCCUAGCCCUUAAGACAAUUAAUGUGACAGCCGCUGAACUAUGUUGGUCUUUUUCAUGUAAUUGUUCAAGAGACCCCAAUACUGAAUCCCUGUUUUGCCCCACAUGGCAAAAAAAAU